rnacentral:misc_RNA from 1 species
CAACAGAUUGUCUCUGCUGAGCCUUCUGCUGCACAUUGCACACAUGUAUCUUCUGUUCAGCAAUAAUAACUACAUGUUUCCAGCUACUUGGAAGUCUUCAAGCCAGUCAUAAUCCUUAAUGAGCUGUUACAACUGCAGUCAAUGUGACCUCAACCUUUUGCUUUUGCAGAGAAAGGACAGUUGCUUACCAGAUGCUUAUAAAUUGGUUCUUUCGUACAACCAAUUGGAUAUUCUUUUGUUGUGUGAAUUCCUUUUUACCAAAAGUUGUGAGGAACCUCAGAGAUUUUGGUUCCUCAAAGGAGGAAUUCAGGAAGUCCUCAGGGCUUUCGUCUAUUGGUUAGAACACAACGCAUGAUGUGUGGAUUAGGUGUACAUCACAAGUUUGAACUCUGCCACCGGCAGAAUCCUAGUAUUUAAGUGGAGAAGGGUUAAGG